AACGUAGGUUCCGAGCGUUAUCCGGAUUUACUGGGUGUAAAGCGCGUUCAGGCGGUUUGGCAAGUCGGGCAUGAAAUCUCUCGGCUCAACCGGGAGAGGUUGUCCGAUACUGCUGGACUUGAGGGCAGUAGAGGGUGGUGGAAUUCCGGGUGUAGUGGUGAAAUGCGUGAGAUAUCAGGAGGAACACCGAUGGCGAAGGCAGGUCUCUGGGCAUUAACUGACGCUGGAGGAGCGGAAAGCAUGGGGAGCGAACAGG
rnacentral:rRNA from 1 species